rnacentral:rRNA from 1 species
ACCUACGGGAGGCAGCAGUGGGGGAUAUUGCACAAUGGGGGAAACCCUGACCCAGCAACGCCGCGUGAAGGAAGAAGGCUUUCGGGUUGUAAACUUCUUUUGUCAGGGACGGAGCAAGUGACGGUACCUGACGAAUAAGCCACGGCUAACUACGUGCCAGCAGCCGCGGUAAUACGUAGGUGGCAAGCGUUAUCCGGAUUCAUUGGGUGUAAAGGGCGUGUAGGCGGGAAUGCAAGUCAGAUGUGAAAACUAUGGGCUCAACCCAUAGCCUGCAUUUGAAACUGUAUUUCUUGAAUGCUGGAGAG